rnacentral:rRNA from 1 species
AGUUUGAUUCUGGCUCAGAUUGAACGCUGGCGGGAUGCUUUACACAUGCAAGUCGAACGGCAGCACGGAGCUUCGGUCUGGUGGCGAGUGGCGAACGGGCAGUAAUGUAUCGGAACGUGCCUAGUAGCGGGGGGAUAAUCAUGCGAAAGCGUAGUUAAUACUGCAUAUUGCCCUUCGGGGGGAAAGUUGGGACCUUUCGGGCCUCGCACUAUUAGAGCGGCCGAUAUCGGAUAGGCUAGUUGUAGGGUAACGGCUCACCAAGGCGACGAUCCGUAGCUGGUUUGAGAGGACGACCAGCCACACUGGGACUGAGACACGGCCCAGACUCCUACGGGAGGGCAGUAAAUUUUUGGACAAUGGGGGAAACCCUGAUCCAGCCAUCCCGCGUGUGCGAUGAAGGCCUUCGGGUUGUAAAGCACUUUGGCAGGGGAAAGAAACGGCACGGGAUAAUACCCCCGUGCAAACUGGUACCUGCAGAAUAAGCACCGGCUAACUACGCACAGCAGCCGCGGAAUACGUAGGGUGCAAGCGUUAAUCGGAAUUACUGGGCGUAAAGGUGCAGGGCGGUUCGGAAAGAAAGAUGUGAAAUCCCAGAGCCUAACUUUGGAACUGCAUUUUUAACUACCGAGCUGAGUGUGUCAGAGGGAGGUGGAAUUCCGCGCGUAGCAGUGAAAUGCGUAGAGAGUGCGGAGGAACACGGAUGGCGAAGGCAGCCUCCUUCUGGGAUAACACCUGACGCUCAUGCACGAAAGCGUGGGGAGCAAACAGGAUUAGAUACUCCUGGUAGUCCACGCCUCAAACGAUGUCAACUAGCUGUUACCUCGCCUUGGUAGCGCAGCUAACGCGUGAAGUUGACCGCCUGGGGAGUACGGUCGCAAGAUUAAAACUCAAAGGAAUUGACGGGGACUCCACAAGCGGUGGAUGAUGUGGAUUAAUUCCGAUGCAACGCGAAAACCUUACCUACCCUUGACAUGUCUGGAAUCCCGAAGAGAUUUGGGAGUGCUCGCAAGAGAACCGGAACACAGGUGCUGCAUGGCUGUCGUCAGCUCGUGUCGAGAUGUUGGGUUAAGUCCCGCAACGAGCGCAACCCUUGUCAUUAGUUGCUACGAAAGGGCACUCUAAUGAGACUGCCGGUGACAAACCGGAGGAAGGUGGGAUGACGUCAAGUCCAUGGCCCUUAUGGGUAGGGCUUCACACGUCAUACAAUGGUCGGGACAGAGGGUCGCCAACCCGCGAGGGAGCCAACUUGUGUCCGACUGUAGUCCGGAUCGCAGUCUGCAACCGACUGGCAGGAAGUCGGAAUCGCUAGUAAUCGCGGAUCAGCAUGGUUGCGGUGAAUACGUUCCGGUCUUGUACACACCGCCCGUCACACCAUGGGAGUGGGUUUUACCAGAAGUGGUUAGCCUUAACCGUAAGGAGGGCGAUUACCACGGUAGGAUCCAUGACUGGGGUGAAGUCGUGAAGGUGC